UAAGGACCGAGCGUUGUCCGGAAUCAUUGGGCGUAAAGGGUACGUAGGCGGCUAGAAAAGUUAGAAGUCAAAGGCUAUAGCUCAACUAUAGUAAGCUUCUAAAACUAUUUAGCUUGAGAGAUGGAAGGGAAAGUGGAAUUCCUAGUGUAGCGGUGGAAUGCGCAGAUAUUAGGAGGAAUACCGGUGGCGAAGGCGACUUUCUGGCCAUUUUCUGACGCUGAGGUACGAAAGCGUGGGUAGCAAACAGGA
rnacentral:misc_RNA from 1 species